CCUGCCCCUGACUCUGGGAUAAGCGCUGGAAACGGCGUCUAAUACUGGAUACGAGACGUGACCGCAUGGUCAACGUUUGGAAAGAUUUUUCGGUUGGGGAUGGGCUCSCGGCCUAUCAGCUUGUUGGKGAGGUAAUGGCUCACCAAGGCGUCGACGGGUAGCCGGCCUGAGAGGGUGACCGGCCACACUGGGACUGAGACACGGCCCAGACUCCUACGGGAGGCAGCAGUGGGGAAUAUUGCACAAUGGGCGGAAGCCUGAUGCAGCAACGCCGCGUGAGGGAUGACGGCCUUCGGGUUGUAAACCUCUUUUAGCAGGGAAGAAGCGAAAGUGACGGUACCUGCARAAAAAGCGCCGGCUAACUACGUGCCAGCASCCGCGGUAAUACGUAGGGCGCAAGCGUUAUCCGGAAUUAUUGGGCGUAAAGAGCUCGUAGGCGGUUUGUCGCGUCUGCUGUGAAAUCUGGGGGCUCAACCCCCAGCCUGCAGUGGGUACGGGCAGACUAGAGUGCGGUAGGGGGAGAUUGGAAUUCCUGGUGUAGCGGUGGAAUGCGCAGAUAUCAGGAGGAACACCGAUGGCGAAGGCAGAUCUCUGGGCCGUAACUGACGCUGAGGAGCGAAAGGGUGGGGAGCAAACAGGCUUAGAUACCCUGGUAGUCCACCCCGUAAACGUUGGGAACUAGUUGUGGGGUCCAUUCCACGGAUUCCGUGACGCAGCUAACGCAUUAAGUUCCCCGCCUGGGGAGUACGGCCGCAAGGCUAAAACUCAAAGGAAUUGACGGGGACCCGCACAAGCGGCGGAGCAUGCGGAUUAAUUCGAUGCAACGCGAAGAACCUUACCAAGGCUUGACAUAUACGAGAACGGGCCAGAAAUGGUCAACUCUUUGGACACUCGUAAACAGGUGGUGCAUGGUUGUCGUCAGCUCGUGUCGUGAGAUGUUGGGUUAAGUCCCGCAACGAGCGCAACCCUCGUUCUAUGUUGCCAGCACGUAAUGGUGGGAACUCAUGGGAUACUGCCGGGGUCAACUCGGAGGAAGGUGGGGAUGACGUCAAAUCAUCAUGCCCCUUAUGUCUUGGGCUUCACGCAUGCUACAAUGGCCGGUACAAAGGGCUGCAAUACCGCGAGGUGGAGCGAAUCCCAAAAAGCCGGUCCCAGUUCGGAUUGAGGUCUGCAACUCGACCUCAUGAAGUCGGAGUCGCUAGUAAUCGCAGAUCAGCAACGCUGCGGUGAAUACGUUCCCGGGUC
rnacentral:rRNA from 1 species